CAUCAUCACAAUUCAGCCAUAACACGGUAGAUAAGCAACGGAUAUUUCUUGAACCGAUUACACAGCUCUCUCAUUCAGUAAUGGCUUCUAAUCUCUCUGCAGCUCCAGAUUUCCGUCUUACAAUACCACAGUCUGAUAAAAGAAGACCCAUUUUCUUCACUGCAACAAUCAGGAAAAGUUCUAUAAAAAAAAGACUCCCCAUUUCCUGCAAUUCGUCCCAAUCUUCUCCAAAAACAUCUCAAAAUCUCAAGGAAUCACCCAACCCCAAAAACCCAUCUUUAUCUGACCAACCAAAGCCUCUCUCUGCCACCACACUCUCCACCACCAAAGACCAAAGAACUCAUCUCUUAUCCAAACCAAAGUCCACAUGGGUCAACCCCACAAAACCCAGAAGGUCUGUGCUUUCACUUCAAAGGCAAAAGCGGUCUCCUUACUCGCUCAAUCCCAAGGUCAAAGAGUUGAGACUCUUUGCACAGAAGCUGAACGACUGUGAUUCUUCUAGUGAGAGUGCUUUUAUAUCUCUUCUUGAGCAAAUCCCUUAUCCACUCACCAGAGAAAAUGCUCUCUUGAUACUUAAUAGCUUGAAACCAU
rnacentral:misc_RNA from 1 species